rnacentral:tRNA from 1 species
UCCAUGGUGGCUUAGAUGGUAAAGAAUCUGCCUGUAAUGCAGGAGACCCAUGUUCGAUUCCUGGGUCAGGAA